rnacentral:lncRNA from 1 species
CUCUCCUCUUCUCUCUUUAGAAGGUAUCUCUCUCCUCUCCUCUUCUCUCUUUAGAAGGUAUCUCUCUCCUCUCCUCUAAUUAGAAGGUAUCUCUCUCCUCUUCUCUCUUUAGAAGGUAUCUCUCUCCUCUCCUCUUCUCUCUUUAAAAGGUAUCUCUCUCCUCUCCUCUUCUCUCUUUAUAAGGUAUCUCUCUCCUCUCUUCUCUUUAGAAGGUAUCUCUCUCCUCUCCUCUCUUUAGAAGGUAUCUCUCUCCUCUCCUCUUCUCUCUUUAGAAGGUAUCUCUCUCCUCUCCUCUCUUUAUAAGGUAUCUCUCUCCUCUUCUCUCUUUAGAAGGUAUCUCUCUCCUCUUCUCUCUUUAGAAGGUAUCUCUCUCCUCUCCUCUCCUCUCUUUAGAAGGUAUCUCUCUCCUCUC